UACAUUACACCGCAACCUUACCGGAACCAUUCAAAUGGCUCUCCAACCAAAUGGACACCGUAGCUUCAUAAUUUUAGAAGUCCGGUACCUUACAACAAUAGACUACUCAGUUGCGCCCUAACAGUAUAACUUUGCAACGAGUACUUUUUCGCAUUCUAUCGAACAAAUUGUAAAACCUAAUUAUAUUGUUCUAUUAUGCCCCGAGAGUGUAAAUUUGGAACGAAUCGAUGUCAACCUUCACAAGAAGCAAAAUCGGAACAAUAAUAGACUGCUCAGUUGCGCCCUCACAAUAUAACUUUAGAACGAGUACUUUUUCUCAUUCAAUCGAACAAAGUGUAAAAGCCAAUUAUAUUAUUCUAUCAAUCCCCGCGAGUGUAAAUUUGGAACGAAUCGAUGUCAACCUCCACAAAAACCAAAACCGAAACAACAAUAGACUACUCUGUAGCGCCCUAACAGUAUAACUUUGCAACGAGUACUUUUUCGCAUUUUAUCGAACAAAGAGCAAAACCUAAUAAUAUUAUUCUAUUAUGCCCCGANUAUGCCCCGAGAGUGUAUGUUUGGAACGAAUUGAUGUCAACCUUCACAAGAACCAAAUCCGGAACAACAAUAGACUACUCUGUUGCGCCCUAACAGUAUAAAUUUGCAACGAGUGUUUUUUCUCGUUCUAUCGAACAAAGAGUAAAACCUAAUUAUUUUGUUCUAUUUUGCCCCGAGAGAGUAAAUUUGGAACGCAUCGAUAUCAACAUUCACAAGAACCAAAACCGGAACAACAUUAGACUACUCAGUUACACCUUAACAGUAUAACUUUGCAAUGUAUACUUUUUCGCAUUCUAUUGAACAAAGAGUAAAACCUAAUUAUAUUGUUCUAUUUUGCCCCGACAGAGUAAAUUUGGAACAAAGCGUUGUCAACGUUCACAAGAACCAAAUCCGGAACAACAAUAGACUGCUCAGUUGCGCCCUAACCGUAUAACUUUGCAACGAGUACUUUUUCUCAUUCAAUCCAACAAUGUGUAGAAUCUAAUUAUAUUGGUCUAUUAUGCCCCGAGAGCGUAAAUUUCGAACGAAUCAUUGUCAACGUUCACAAGAACCAAAACUGGACCAACAUUAGACUACUCAGUUACACCCUAACAGUAUAACUUUACAACGAGUACUUUUUCUCAUUCUAACGAACAAAGAGUAAAACCUAAUUAUAUUGUUCUAUUAUGCCCCGAGAGUGCAAAUUUGGAACGAAUCGAUGUCAACCUUCACAAGAAGUAAAACCGGAACAACAAUAGACUGCUCAGCUGCACCCUAACAGUAUAACUUUGCAACGAGUACUUUUUCUCAUUCAAUGGAACAAAGUGUAAGAGCUAAUUAUAUAAUUGUAUUAAGCCCCGAGAGUGUAAAUUUGGAACGAAUCGAUGUCAGCUAUCACAAGAACCAAAUCCGGAAUAAUAAUAGACUACUCAGUUGCGCCCUAACAGUAUAACUCUGCAACGAGUACUUUCUCUCAUUCAAUCCAAAAAAGUGUGAAAGCUAAUUAUCUUCUUCUAUUAUGCCCCAAGAGCGUAAAUAUCGAACGAAUCAUUGUCAACGUUCACUAGAACCAAAACCGGAACAACAUUAGACUACUCAGUUGCGCCCUAACAGUAUAACUUUGCAACGAGUGCUUUUUCGCAUUCUAUCGAACAAAGAGUAAAACCUAAUUAUAUUGUUCUAUUAUGCCCCGAGAGUGUAAAUUUGGAACGAAUCGAGUCAACCUUCAGAAGAAGCAAACCGAAACAAUAAUAGACUGCUCAGUUGUGCCCUCACAGUAUACCUUUGGAACGAGUACUUUUUCUCAUUCAAUCGAACAAAGUGUAAAAGCUAAUUAUAUUAUUCUAUCAUUCCCCGAGAGUGUAAAUUUGGAACGAAUCGAUGUCAACCUUCACAAGAACCAAAAUCGAAACAACAAUAAACUACUUAGUUGCGCCCUAACAGUAUAACUUUGCAACGAGUACUUUUCUACAUUCUAUCGAACAAAGAGUAAAAACCAAAUAAUAUUAUUCUAUUAGUCCCCGAGAGUGUAAAUUUGGAACGAAUCGAUGUCAACCUUCGCAAGAACGAAAACCGAAACAACAAUAGACUACUCAGUUGCGCCCUAACAGUAUAACUUUGCAACGAGUACUUUUUCGCAUUCUAUCGAACAAAUAGUAAAACCUAAUUAUAUUGUUCUAUUAUGCCCCGAGAGUAUAAAUUUGGAACGAAUCGAUAUCAACCUUCAUCAGAAGCAAAACCGAAACAACAAUAGACUGCUCAGUUGCGCCCUAACAGUAUCACUUUACAACGAGUACUUUUUCUUAUUCAAUCGAACAAAGUGUAAAUGCUAAUUAUAUUAUUCUAUUAUGCCCCGAGAGUGUAAAUUUGGAACGAAUCGAUGUCAACCUUCACAAGAAGCAAAACCGGAACAAUAAUAGACUUCUCAGUUGCGCCAUAACAGUAUAACUUUAGAACGAGUACUUUUUCUCAUUCAAUCGAACAAACUGUAAAAGCCAAUUAUAUUAUUCUAUCAAUCCCCGAGAGUGUAAAUUUGGAACGAAUCGAUGUCAACCUCCACAAAAACCAAAGCCGAAACAACAAUAGACUACUCAGUAGCGCCCUAACAAUAUAACUUUGCAACGAGUACUUUUUCGCAUUCUAUUGAACAAAGAGCAAAACCUAAUAAUAUUAUUCUAUUAUGCCCCGAGAGUGUAAAUUUGGAAUGAAUCGAUGUCAACCUUCACAAGAACCAAAACCGGAACAACAAUAGACUACUCAGUUGCGCCCUAACAGUAUAACUUUGCAACAAGUAAUAUUUCUUUUUCAAUCGAACAAAGUGUAAAAGCUAAUUACAUUAUUCUAUUAUGCCCUGAGAGUGUAAGUUUGGAACGAAUCGAUGUCAACCUUCACAAGAACCAAAUUCGUAACAACAAUAGACUACUUUGUUGCGCCCUAACAAUAUAAAUUUGCAACGAGUGCUUUUUCUCGUUCUAUCGAACAAAGAUUAAAACCUAAUUAUGUUGUUCUAUUUUGCCCCGAGAGAAUAAAUUUUGAACGCAACGAUGUCAACAUUCACAAGAACGAAAACCAGAACAACAUUAUAUUGUUCUAUUUUGCCUCGAGAGAGUAAAUUUGGAACAAAUCGUUGUCAACGUUCACAAGAACCAAAUCCGGAACAACAAUAGACUGUUCAGUUGCAUCCUAACAGUAUUACUUUGCAACGAGUACUUUUUCUCAUUCUAACGAACAAAGAGUAAAACCUAAUUAUA
rnacentral:lncRNA from 1 species